GUUUUUAUAGUUUAAUUAAAAAACAUUAAUUUUGUAAAUUAAAAAUAAUAAAAAUAUUUAAAAACU
rnacentral:tRNA from 1 species